ACAUACGACCAUAGAUUCAAGAGAAUUGGGCAUCCCGUCCGCCCUGCCGUUACACAAGCUUGAAAUCUGUAUAUUAUUAGUAGUUGGGUGGGUGACCACCAGCGAAUACCUACUGUUGUAUGUU
rnacentral:rRNA from 1 species